rnacentral:rRNA from 1 species
UACGUAGGGGCCUAGCGUUGUCCGGAUUUAUUGGGCGUAAAGAGCUCGUAGGCGGUUCGGCAAGUCGGAUGUGAAAUCUCCACGCUCAACGUGGAGGGGCCAUUCGAAACUGCUGUGACUUGAGUCCGGUAGGGGGGUGUGGAAUUCCCGGUGUAGCGGUGAAAUGCGCAGAUAUCGGGAGGAGCACCAGUAGCGAAGGCGGCACCCUGGGCCGGUACUGACGCUGAGACGCGAAAGCGUGGGGAGCGAACAGG